UCUCUGAUUACUGGCUCAAGGAAACAGGGGGCCUGAACUGAGCAUCUAAAGAUAUCAGAUUUUGAAUCAUCUGCUUCUGGGGUGUCCUGCAUCAGGAUUAGUAACGAUCUCUAGCUCUCGAGCGCACAAAUUGCAUUUCUCAGAUGUUGGAUCCCGGAGGAGCGGCAGGUGUCUGAAGGAGUCGAAUCUCGGCUUCGUUCUUCUGUCGUGUGCACAUCUCUGAUCCAUGCAAAUCCUGCGCUGCACGCGAAAGAAUGGGCUGAAAUAUUUUUAAACAGUAAUUACCUGGCCAGGAUCCGACAGAGGGGGAUUAAUGGAGGAACGCGGAGCAUCAGGUUCCAGAGAUGUGUGCGCUGGAAGGUACGGUGAGG